UCAAUUGAACAGCACACCCAAGACCCAACCAUCCCCAACCUCAACUCACUCUUACGGUCUCACCUCACUCACCGCACACACAGAUACUCGCUCUCACCUCUCUCACUCACCGAACGCUCACUGCCGGUCGUCACUCGUCAUUCUCCUCGCCGGCUCCUCUGCCUCGUCCUCGCGCCGUCAGUAUUUGCUCGCCUCUGCUUCCUUCGCGACUGUGCCUCCGCGUCGUGCCUUGUCUGGCUCUGCUUCCUCCGUCGUCAUCAUGUUGGCUCAUCUGCAGACUCUGCUCUGCUCCUCUUCGAAGCUCUCCCUCCGCCGAAGCUCUGCUCUCUCUCGCCGGCGGCUUACUCUGCAGCUGUGCAACACGGCAACUUCCCCAAGUUGAAAAAUCGUCCCUGACUGUUUCUGGCUUUCUGCUUCUGCUGUAGAUUUGACAAGAUCAUCAAUAAGGAAAUUCCUUCUAUUGUGCUUUAUGAGGAUGAUAAGGUAGUAAGGUACUGUCUGUACUACAACUACCUGCUUCUUUCUGCUCUUCAGGUUCAAGUCAGUCUCCCAAUUAAUUAAACCAUUUUUGUUGACAUUUCGUCAUUAUUUGCUUCAUCUUACACGGAAAAAAUGAAGAACUUUUUCUAUCAUCUUAUGCUGAAAAAAUAAACAACUUUUUCUAUGGUCACUCUUCAUAAACAAGGACGAAGAUGAUGACUGGUACUAGGAAGUUACUGUCCCCAACCCAUUUCCGGCCCAUCCCCACCAUUGUCCAUAACUCUCUUGCUGAUGACACCCAAUUGAAUUCUAUUGCACCGUUUUGCCCCCAAAGACAUUUCCGGUUUAGCCACUGAUCUCAUCAAAUCAUAUUUUGAUAAGGGGUCCAUUGAAGAAGCACGCAUGCUGUUUGAUGAAAUGUCACAUAGAGAUGUUGUCACUUGGACUGCUAUGAUUACUGGCUACAAUUCUUGCAACCACCAUGGUCGUGCGUGGAGCAUGUUCUGUGAGAUGUUGAGAUACGGGACGCGGUCUAAUUU